rnacentral:rRNA from 1 species
GACGAACGCUGGCGGCGUGCCUAACACAUGCAAGUCGAACGGAGAUACGAUUUCGGUUGUAUCUUAGUGGCGAACGGGUGAGUAACGCGUGAGCAACCUGACUCUUAGAGGGGGAUAACACUCGGAAACGGGUGCUAAUACCGCAUAAGACCACGACAUGGCAUCAUGACGAGGUCAAAGGAGCAAUCCGCUGAGAGAGGGGCUCGCGUCCCAUUAGAUAGAUGGCGGGGUAACGGCCCACCAUGUCAACGAUGGGUAGCCGAGCUGAGAGGCUGAUCGGCCACACUGGAACUGAGACACGGUCCAGACUCCUACGGGAGGCAGCAGUGGGGAAUAUUGGGCAAUGGGCGCAAGCCUGACCCAGCAAACGCCGCGUGAGGGGAAGAAGGGCUUUCGGUUGUAAACCUACUGUCCUUGGUGACGAAAAAAAUAAGACGGUAGCCGAAGGAAGGAAGACCCGGCCGAACCUAACGUACGCACGCACGACCGCGGUAACGUACACCGAAGAAGUAACGUAG